GUAGGUAACCUGUCCUUAUGUCUGGGAUACCCCACCGAAAGGUGGACUAAUACCGGAUGUUCUUGUUUUUCAUAAGCUUUACAAGAAAAGGUGGCCUCUGAUUUAAGCUACUGCAUGAGGAGGGGUCUGCGUACCAUUAGCUAGUUGGUGGGGUAAGAGCCUACCAAGGCAUCGAUGGUUAGCGGGUCUGAGAGGAUGAUCCGUCACACUGGCACUGAAACACAGGCCAGACUCCUACGGGAGGCAGCAGUGAGGAAUAUUGCGCAAUGGGGGAAACCCUGACGCAGCGACGCCGCGUGAGUGAGGAAGGCUUUCGGGUCGUAAAGCUCUGUCAAAAGAGAAGAAGUGUAUACAAGCUAAUACCUUGUAUACUUAACGGUACCUUUAAAGGAAGCACCGGCUAACUCCGUGCCAGCAGCCGCGGUAAUACGGAAGGUGCAAGCGUUGUUCGGAAUUACUGGGCGUAAAGGGCGCGCAAACGGCCAAAUAAGUCAGAUGUGAAAGCCCCGGGCUCAACCUGGGAACUGCAUCUGAUACUGGCAGACUAGAGUUUGAGAGAGGAAAGUGGAAUUCCAGGUGUAGCGGUGAAAUGCGUAGAUAUCUGGAGGAACACCAGUGGCGAAGGCGACUUUCUGGCUUAAAACUGACACUGAGGUGCGAAAGCGUGGGUAGCA
rnacentral:rRNA from 1 species